UUAGGAAUAUUCGUCAAUGGGGGAAACCCUGAACGAGCAAUGCCGCGUGAAGGAUGACGGUCCUCUGGAUUGUAAACUUCUGUUGUUAGGGAAGAACGACCUAGGUAGGAAAUGACCUAGGAGUGACGGUACCUUUCAAGAAAGCUCCGGCUAACUACGUGCCAGCAGCCGCGGUAAUACGUAGGGAGCGAGCGUUAUCCGGAUUUAUUGGGUGUAAAGGGUGCGUAGGCGGUUUCUUAAGUCUGUAGUCUAAGCCCGGAGCUUAACUCCGGUUCGCUACAGAAACUGAGUUACUUGAGUAUGGUAGAGGCAAGUGGAAUUUCUAGUGUAGCGGUUAAAUGCGUAGAUAUUAGAAGGAACACCGGUGGCGAAGGCGACUUGCUGGGCCAUCACUGACGCUGAGGCACGAAAGCGUGGGGAGCAAAUAGGA
rnacentral:rRNA from 1 species